GCACUAACAUUAUCUUGCUCAGUUGGUUAGAGUGUAGCGCUGAUAAUGCCAAGGUUGCAGGUUCAAUCCCCACAUGGGACAGCUGCA